AGGUCUUGACAUCCCGAUGCUAUUUCUAGAGAUAGAAAGUUACUUCGGUACAUCGGUGACAGGUGGUGCAUGGUUGUCGUCAGCUCGUGUCGUGAGAUGUUGGGUUAAGUCCCGCAACGAGCGCAACCCCUAUUGUUAGUUGCCAUCAUUCAGUUGGGCACUCUAGCGAGACUGCCGGUAAUAAACCGGAGGAAGGUGGGGAUGACGUCAAAUCAUCAUGCCCCUUAUGACCUGGGCUACACACGUGCUACAAUGGUUGGUACAACGAGUUGCGAGUCGGUGACGGCGAGCUAAUCUCUUAAAGCCAAUCUCAGUUCGGAUUGUAGGCUGCAACUCGCCUACAUGAAGUCGGAAUCGCUAGUAAUCGCGGAUCAGCACGCCGCGGUGAAUACGUUCCCGGGCC
rnacentral:rRNA from 1 species